CGUCACUUCCUCCCCGGCGGCCUCCGCGGCCCUGGCGCCCGGUUACUAUGGCAAUGCCGCCGCUCGCCCCGGGGCGCUAGUUUGGGGCCGGGUUUUCGGUGCAGGUGCCCGGCGGGUGCGAGGGCGCUGGAGAUGGCGGCUGGGAGACACCAGCAGAGUCCCGGAAGCCCGAGACGUCCCAGGCACUUCGGUUGCGCUCCCAGCCGGCAGAGGCGCGCCUGGAUUCUGAGACCAGGAAUCGGAGCUGCGCUAUUAGAGCGCAGGGCUGGAGUACAGUGGUGUGAUCCUAACUCAAGCAACCCUCCUGCCUUGGCCCCCCAAAGUGUUGGGAUUACAGGCAUGAGCCACCAUGCCUAGCUCCACAUCAGGUAUUUCUAAUGAGAAUUGAACCUACAAAUUGAAAUGUAAGUAUAAAAUAUACAGCAGAUUUCAAAGACAGUGGGAAAAAAUGUACAAUAUCUCUAUUGAUACUUUAAAAAUAUUGAUCACAUGUUGAAAUGGUAGUACUUUAGAUAUGUUGGGUUUAUUUUUAAUUUUUCAAAAUGUGGCUAAUAGAAAAUUUAAAGUUAUAUAUGUAGCUUACAUAAUAUUUCUAUUUGCUGUAGGAUUCAGUGGCUUACCCAGCACUUCAGAAGACAUUUGAAAAUCAGUCAUGUUCCUCAACCAAGUGAUGCCUUUUAGCGGUGCAAAUUCUGUGCUUAGGAAACUUGCUGCUUGCCCUAAUCUUUUCUUUUUUUGUUUUAAAAUGUGUCAUGUGGCAUUUAAUUGUCCUCAUCUUAUCAAGGGUUCAGUGCACCCUAAUGAGACUUGAAUGCAUCACAAAAUGAUGGAGGAAGGUAGCCUGGGCCCAACUGAACUCACUGUGUAUUCAGAAAAUAACCCACAGUUGGGAAAUUCACAGUGCCAUUGCUUUGAAUCAAAUCCUUACUUCAUACCAGGAUGUACCAUGAUUCUUGGCAACAUGACUGGGUAUUGAUGUCUUGUCUAGCCAAUGAAAUCCACAUAGCAAAGAUGUUAUGAAGACAUGGAAACAUGAAUAUGAAAUAAAAUCAGUAUAGCUAUUUGGAUGAUUAGCUAUCGACACAAGACAGUCCCUGGUAAUUGCCUUUAAUAGUAAGGUAGCACUAGGCCAUGAAAGGUGCUUCAGUGUACCUGCCUCAUUUGUGGCUCCCUUUUGGCCAUGUGACCCUAACUCCCCUGGUCACAAGUGGCUGAACCAGCAAUCAAUACCUGACCUGAAGGCAACCCUCUAUAGGCUGGCAAGUGGCCUACAAAGUUGCUCAGUGCUAGAGAACUGAGCCCAACAGAAGUACAUUCUAAUGUUUAGUGAUUGGCCAAUCGUAUUCUUUGUGAUGGUGCUGAUGGGAAGGUAGUGAUGUGCAUCAGACAUGCAGAGUUAGUAGCAGCUGGAGCAGACACAGAAGCCUCCCUAACAAUGGGCAAUGGAGAAAGGAACAACAGACAGUUCUGAAAGAAUACCAAGUGCUCCUAAGCCAAAAGCUAUAGUUAGGCUGCUGGAGGUACUGCCAGUCCUAAAUGAUGGCAAUGAUGGUCCAUUUUUCUGUGAAACUUGACUGUAUACCUGUUAAGAUUUUUUUGUGUUCUUUUUAAGGCUCCAUGAAUGAAUCUUUCCAAUAAACAAGUUUGUAACAAAGGCAACCUGAACAUUUCUGAUACUUGAAACUUGAAAAUAUCUAAUACAAUUUUACAUCACUUUCAAAUCAUGAGUGAAGAAGUUAAUGUGUUAUUGAA
rnacentral:lncRNA from 1 species